GUAGGUGGCAAGCGUUGUCCGGAAUUAUUGGGCGUAAAGCGCGCGCAGGCGGUCCUUUAAGUCUGAUGUGAAAGCCCACGGCUCAGCCGUGGAGGGUCAUUGGAAACUGGGGGACUUGAGUACAGAAGAGGAAAGCGGAAUUCCACGUGUAGCGGUGAAAUGCGUAGAGAUGUGGAGGAACACCAGUGGCGAAGGCGGCUUUCUGGUCUGUAACUGACGCUGAGGCGCGAAAGCGUGGGGAGCAAACAGGAUUAGAUACCCUGGUAGUCCACGCCGUAAACGAUGAGUGCUAAGUGUUAGGGGGUUUCCGCCCCCCUUAGUGCUGCAGCUAACGCAUUAAGCACUCCGCCUGGGAGUACGGCCGCAAGGCUG
rnacentral:rRNA from 1 species